UCGGGUGGACAGGGAGGACAGGUGGUGCAUGGUUGUCGUCAGCUCGUGUCGUGAGAUGUUGGGUUAAGUCCCGCAACGAGCGCAACCCCUACGUUUAGUCGCUAACGCGUGAAGGCGAGCACUCUAGACGAACUGCCGUUGACAAAACGGAGGAAGGUGGGGAUGACGUCAAAUCAUCAUGCCCCUCAUGUUCUGGACUACACACGUGCUACAAUGGCCGGUACAGACGGACGCAAAGCCGCGAGGUGGAGCAAAUCCUAAAAAGCCGGUCUCAGUUCGGAUUGCAGGCUGCAAUUCGCCUGCAUGAAGUCGGAAUCGCUAGUAAUCGCAGGUCAGCAUACUGCGGUGAAUACGUUCCCGGGCCUU
rnacentral:rRNA from 1 species